AACGCGAAGAACCUUACCUACCCUUGACAUGGCUGGAAUCCCUGAGAGAUUGGGGAGUGCUCGAAAGAGAACCAGUACACAGGUGCUGCAUGGCUGUCGUCAGCUCGUGUCGUGAGAUGUUGGGUUAAGUCCCGCAACGAGCGCAACCCUUGUCAUUAGUUGCUACGAAAGGGCACUCUAAUGAGACUGCCGGUGACAAACCGGAGGAAGGUGGGGAUGACGUCAAGUCCUCAUGGCCCUUAUGGGUAGGGCUUCACACGUCAUACAAUGGUACAUACAGAGGGCCGCCAACCCGCGAGGGGGAGCUAAUCCCAGAAAGUGUAUCGUAGUCCGGAUUGUAGUCUGCAACUCGACUACAUGAAGUUGGAAUCGCUAGUAAUCGCGGAUCAGCAUGUCGCGGUGAAUACGUUCCCGGGUCUUGUACACACCGAAU
rnacentral:rRNA from 1 species